GUACACGAGCGGCGAACGGGUGAGUAACACGUGGGUGAUCUGCCCUGCACUUCGGGAUAAGCCUGGGAAACUGGGUCUAAUACCGGAUAUGACCAAAGGCUGCAUGGCUUUUGGUGGAAAGGUUUACUGGUGCAGGAUGGGCCCGCGGCCUAUCAGCUUGUUGGUGGGGUAAUGGCCUACCAAGGCGACGACGGGUAGCCGACCUGAGAGGGUGACCGGCCACACUGGGACUGAGACACGGCCCAGACUCCUACGGGAGGCAGCAGUGGGGAAUAUUGCACAAUGGGCGAAAGCCUGAUGCAGCGACGCCGCGUGAGGGAUGACGGCCUUCGGGUUGUAAACCUCUUUCAGCAGGGACGAAGCGAAAGUGACGGUACCUGCAGAAGAAGCACCGGCCAACUACGUGCCAGCAGCCGCGGUAAUACGUAGGGUGCGAGCGUUGUCCGGAAUUACUGGGCGUAAAGAGCUCGUAGGCGGUUUGUCGCGUCGUCUGUGAAAACCAGCAGCUCAACUGCUGGCUUGCAGGCGAUACGGGCAGACUUGAGUACUGCAGGGGAGACUGGAAUUCCUGGUGUAGCGGUGAAAUGCGCAGAUAUCAGGAGGAACACCGGUGGCGAAGGCGGGUCUCUGGGCAGUAACUGACGCUGAGGAGCGAAAGCGUGGGUAGCGAACAGGAUUAGAUACCCUGGUAGUCCACGCCGUAAACGGUG
rnacentral:rRNA from 1 species